rnacentral:rRNA from 1 species
GGCCUUUUGAUUAUGAUUUAAGGUCUUGCCUGCCCAAUGAUGUAAAAGUUAAAUGGCCGCAGUAUCCUGACUGUGCAAAGGUAGCAUAAUCAUUAGUUUUUUAAUUGAAAGCUUGUAUGAAAGGUUUGAUGAGAAAARAACUGUCUCUAUCUAAAAUUUUAGAAAUUUAUUUUUAAGUUAAAAAGCUUAAAUUUUUAUUGAAGACGAGAAGACCCUAUAGAGUUUUAUUUAUGUAAUAAUAGAUAGUAUUUAGUAUUUAAAAUUUUAUUUUUAUAUAAAUUUAGUUGGGGUGAUUGAAAAAUUUAUAAAACUUUUUUUUUAUUUUUACAUUUAUUUAUGAUUAUUUGAUCCUUUAUUAGAUUAUAAGAAAAAAUUACCUUAGGGAUAACAGCGUAAUUUUUUUUAGAGUUCUUAUCGAAAAAAAAGAUUGCGACCUCGAUGUUGGAUUAAAAUUUAAUUUUUGGUGUAGAAGCUAGAAAAUUUAGGUCUGUUCGACCUUUAAAUUUUUACAUGAUCUGAGUUUAAACCGGCGUAAG